rnacentral:tRNA from 1 species
GGGCCUAUAGCUCAGUUGGUUAGAGCAUCCGGCUCAUAACCGGACGGUCCCUGGUUCGAGUCCAGGUGGGCCCACCA